rnacentral:rRNA from 1 species
GAUGAACGCUGGCGGCGUGCCUAAUACAUGCAAGUCGAGCGAACGGACGAGAAGCUUGCUUCUCUGAUGUUAGCGGCGGACGGGUGAGUAACACGUGGAUAACCUACCUAUAAGACUGGGAUAACUUCGGGAAACCGGAGCUAAUACCGGAUAAUAUAUUGAACCGCAUGGUUCAAAAGUGAAAGACGGUUUUGCUGUCACUUAUAGAUGGAUCCGCGCUGCAUUAGCUAGUUGGUAAGGUAACGGCUUACCAAGGCAACGAUGCAUAGCCGACCUGAGAGGGUGAUCGGCCACACUGGAACUGAGACACGGUCCAGACUCCUACGGGAGGCAGCAGUAGGGAAUCUUCCGCAAUGGGCGAAAGCCUGACGGAGCAACGCCGCGUGAGUGAUGAAGGUCUUCGGAUCGUAAAACUCUGUUAUUAGGGAAGAACAAAUGUGUAAGUAACUAUGCACAUCUUGACGGUACCUAAUCAGAAAGCCACGGCUAACUACGUG